rnacentral:tRNA from 1 species
GGGAGUAUUGCUCAGUGGUAGAGCACUUGCCGAACAUGCAUGAGGCCCUGGGUUCCAUCCCCAGCACUGCAG